CGGUAGAAUUAAAAUAUAAACUUCUGGGUGUCCAAAGAAUCAAAAUAGAUGUUGAUAUAGAAUUGGGUCACCCCCUCCUGCAGGGUCAAAGAAUGAUGUAUUUAAAUUUCGAUCUGUUAAUAAUAUAGUAAUAGCUCCUGCUAAAACUGGAAGUGAAAGAAGGAGAAGUAAUGCUGCAAUAGCUACAGAUCAUACAAAUAAAGGUGUUUGAUCUAAAGUUAUACUUUCUGAUCGUAUAUUAAUUGCUGUUGUAAUGAAAUUCACUGCACCAAGAAUAGAUGAUACACCUGCUAAGUGCAGUGAAAAAAUAGCUAGAUCUACAGAUGCACCCCCGUGUGCAAUAGCUCCUGCUAGAGGAGGGUAAACUGUUCAUCCUGUACCAGCACCAUUAUCUACUAUAGAAGAUGUAAGAAGAAGGGUUAGUGAAGGUGGUAGUAAUCAAAAACUUAUAUUAUUUAUUCGUGGAAAUGCUAUAUCUGGUGCACCAAUUAUUAGUGGAACAAGUCAAUUACCAAAUCCACCAAUUAUAAUAGGUAUUACUAUAAAGAAAAUUAUUACGAAUGCGUGAGCUGUAAUAAUAACAUUAUAAAUCUGGUCAUCCCCAAUUAGAGGUCCGGGUUGGCCAAGUUCAGCACGAAUAAGUAUUCUUAUUGAUGUUCCUACUAUUCCUGCUCAUGCUCCAAAUAUGAAGUAUAAAGUACCAAUGUCCUUAUGGUUUGUUGAGAAUAAUCAUUUUUGCA